rnacentral:rRNA from 1 species
AUUGAACGCUGGCGGCAGGCCUAACACAUGCAAGUCGAACGAGUGGCGGACGGGUGAGUAACGUCUGGGAAACUGCCUGAUGGCGGGGGAUAACUACUGGAAACGGUAGCUAAUACCGCAUACCUGUGGAUGUGCCCAGAUGGGAUUAGCUAGUAGGUGGGGUAAAGGCUCACCUAGGCGACGAUCCCUAGCUGGUCUGAGAGGAUGACCGGCCACACUGGAACUGAGACACGGUCCAGACUCCUACGGGAGGCAGCAGUGGGGAAUAUUGCGCAAUGGGCGCAAGCCUGAUGGAGCAAUGCCGCGUGUGUGAAGAAGGCCUUCGGGUUGUAAAGCACUUUCGGCGAGGAAGCGUUACUCACAGAGAAAGCACCGGCUAACUACGUGCCAGCAGCCGCGGUAAUAC